rnacentral:rRNA from 1 species
GACGAUCAGUAGCCGGACUGAGAGGUUGGCCGGCCACAUUGGGACUGAGACACGGCCCAGACUCCUACGGGAGGCAGCAGUGGGGAAUAUUGCGCAAUGGGGGAAACCCUGACGCAGCAACGCCGCGUGAAGGAAGAAGGCCUUCGGGUUGUAAACUUUUGUCUUCAGGGAAGAAUAAAUGACGGUACCUGAGGAGGAAGCCACGGCUAACUACGUGCCAGCAGCCGCGGUAAUACGUAGGUGGCAAGCGUUAUCCGGAAUUACUGGGUGUAAAGGGUGCGUAGGCGGGACUGCAAGUCAGAUGUGAAAUACUAGGGCUCAACCCUAGGGCUGCAUUUGAAACUGUGGUUCUUGAGUGCAGGAGAGGUAAGUGGAAUUCCUGGUGUAGCGGUGAAAUGCGCAGAUAUCAGGAGGAACACCAGCGGCGAAGGCGGCGCUCUGGGCCGGAACUGACGCUGAGGAGCGAAAGCGUGGGUAGCAAACAGGAUUAGAUACCCUGGUAGUCCACGCCGUAAACGUUGGGCACUAGGUGUGGGGUCUAUUCAACGGACUCCGUGCCGUAGCUAACGCAUUAAGUGCCCCGCCUGGGGAGUACGGCCGCAAGGCUAAAACUCAAAGGAAUUGACGGA